AGUGAACGCUGGCGGUAGGCCUAACACAUGCAAGUCGAACGGCAGCACAGUAAGAGCUUGCUCUUACGGGUGGCGAGUGGCGGACGGGUGAGGAAUACAUCGGAAUCUACUUUUUCGUGGGGGAUAACGUAGGGAAACUUACGCUAAUACCGCAUACGACCUACGGGUGAAAGCAGGGGAUCUUCGGACCUUGCGCGAUUGAAUGAGCCGAUGUCGGGUUAGCUAGUUGGCGGGGUAAAGGCCCACCAAGGCGACGAUCCGUAGCUGGUCUGAGAGGAUGAUCAGCCACACUGGAACUGAGACACGGUCCAGACUCCUACGGGAGGCAGCAGUGGGGAAUAUGGGACAAUGGGCGCAAGCCUGAUCCAGCCAUACCGCGUGGGUGAAGAAGGCCUUCGGGUUGUAAAGCCCUUUUGUUGGGAAAGAAAAGCAGCAGGUUAAGACCCCGCUGUUCUGACGGUACCCAAAGAAUAAGCACCGGCUAACUUCGU
rnacentral:rRNA from 1 species